rnacentral:rRNA from 1 species
UGGAUCAGAACGAACGCUGGCGGCGUGCUUAACACAUGCAAGUCAGAAUGCGCAGCAUUCAGUAGCAAUUCAGAGCGUGGGCGCAUGGCGAACGGGUGCGUAACAUGUGGGCAACCUUCCGUUCGUUGGGGGAUACCCCCUCGAAAGCGGGACUAAUACCGCAUAACACUCCAUGAGUUAGCUGUCAGGGUUUCAAAGCAGCAAUGCGCCGGAAGAGGGGCCUGCGGCCGAUUAGCUAGUUGGCGAGGUAACGGCUCACCAAGGCUAAGAUCGGUAGCCGGUCUGAGAGGAUGAUCGGCCACACUGGAACUGAGACACGGUCCAGAAUCCUACGGGAGGCAGCAGUGGG